UGGGGAAUCUUGCGCAAUGGGCGAAAGCCUGACGCAGCGACGCCGCGUGGGUGACGAAGGCCUUCGGGUUGUAAAGCCCUGUGGGGGGAGACGAACCGGGUCGUGGCUAAUAUCCACGGUCCUUGACGGUAUCCCUUUAGCAAGCAUCGGCUAACUCUGUGCCAGCAGCCGCGGUAAGACAGAGGAUGCAAACGUUGCUCGGAAUUACUGGGCGUAAAGCGCGCGCAGGUGGUCCGGUAAGUCGGGUGUGAAAUCCCGGGGCUCAACCUCGGAAGUGCACUCGAUACUGCUAGACUUGAGUACUGGAGAGGAGAGCGGAAUUCCCGGUGUAGAGGUGAAAUUCGUAGAUAUCGGGAGGAACACCAGUGGCGAAGGCGGCUCUCUGGACAGAUACUGACACUGAGGCGCGAAAGCGUGGGAAGCAAACAGG
rnacentral:rRNA from 1 species